rnacentral:rRNA from 1 species
UACAGAGGUCUCAAGCGUUGUUCGGAUUCAUUGGGCGUAAAGGGUGCGUAGGUGGCGCUGUAAGUCAGGUGUGAAAUUUCGGAGCUUAACUCCGAAACUGCAUUUGAUACUGCCUUGCUUGAGGACUGGAGAGGAGACUGGAAUUCCUGGUGUAGCGGUGGAAUGCGCAGAUAUCAGGAGGAACACCGGUGGCGAAGGCGGGUCUCUGGGCCGUUACUGACGCUGAGGAGCGAAAGCGUGGGGAGCGAACAGG